rnacentral:misc_RNA from 1 species
UUUAAAAAAAAAAAAAAAAAAUGGUUCCGCUCUAAUAAAACAACAUCAAACAAUUCCAUAGAUGUUAAAGAAACACUCAUGAGCACCAAGACAAUAGCAACACAUCAUUUAGUGAAAUGUUGAUCGGCUAUGAAUGAGGUUGGGAUAAACUAAAGGUGCCAAGACAGUAGAUUAUGAUUAGGAAAACAUUUUGCAUUUUGGCAAUGAGAUUUUGCAAAAUGCUAACUAUGCAAUUGUGAAUUUGUGCCUGUAUGUUGCAAAAUUUUUGUGUCUGUAUGCUAAAUAGGAAUGAACAAUGGGGCCCCUUAAGCAAUUCUAUAUCAAAAUCAUUCGACCAACAAAAAAAAAUUGACUUGCUCGAAGAUCCAUUAGAACACUCCCUCAAUUCCCCAUUUCUGAAUCGCAGAAGCAAAUUCAAAAAUCCCGAAAUUAAUUCCAAGAGAAGGCGAUUGUAUCAGUGAAUCAAAAUGAAAUCGAAUUUGACAAAAACAUGUACACACAGAGAGCAAGAGGGAAGGAGGAAGAGAGUCGAACCUGUGGGAAAGAGAGAAGACA